rnacentral:rRNA from 1 species
AUGCAGUCGAACGGCAGCGCGGGGCAACCUGGCGGCGAGUGGCGAACGGGUGAGUAAUAUAUCGGAACGUACCCUGGAGUGGGGGAUAACGUAGCGAAAGUUACGCUAAUACCGCAUACGAUCUAAGGAUGAAAGUGGGGGAUCGCAAGACCUCAUGCUCCUGGAGCGGCCGAUAUCUGAUUAGCUAGUUGGUGGGGUAAAGGCCCACCAAGGCAUCGAUCAGUAGCUGGUCUGAGAGGACGACCAGCCACACUGGAACUGAGACACGGUCCAGACUCCUACGGGAGGCAGCAGUGGGGAAUUUUGGACUGUGGUAGCAAGCCUGAUCCAGCAAUGCCGCGUGAGUGAAGAAGGCCUUCGGGUUGUAAAGCUCUUUUGUCAGGGAAGAAACGGUGGGGGCUAAUAUCCCUUGCUAAUGACGGUACCUGAAGAAUAAGCACCGGCUAACUACGUGCCAGCAGCCGCGGUAAUACGUAGGGUGCAAGCGUUAAUCGGAAUUACUGGGCGUAAAGCGUGCGCAGGCGGUUAUGUAAGACAGAUGUGAAAUGCCCGGGCUCAACCUGGGAACUGCAUUUGUGACUGCAUGGCUAGAGUGUGUCAGAGGGGGGUAGAAUUCCACGUGUAGCAGUGAAAUGCGUAGAUAUGUGGAGGAAUACCGAUGGCGAAGGCAGCCCCCUGGGAUAACACUGACGCUCAUGCACGAAAGCGUGGGGAGCAAACAGGAUUAGAUACCCUGGUAGUCCACGCCCUAAACGAUGUCUACUAGUUGUCGGGUCUUAAUUGACUUGGUAACGCAGCUAACGCGUGAAGUAGACCGCCUGGGGAGUACGGUCGCAAGAUUAAAACUCAAAGGAAUUGACGGGGACCCGCACAAGCGGUGGAUGACGUGGAUUAAUUCGAUGCAACGCGAAAACCUUACCUACUCUUGACAUGGACGGAAUCCUUGAGAGAUCGAGGGGGUGCUCGAAAGGAGAGCCGUCACACAGGGUGCUGCAUGGCUGUCGUCAGCUCGG